rnacentral:misc_RNA from 1 species
AUCUAUAGAGUUCGGAAUAUAGUUGUAUAUUUUCAGUUAAGUGUCACCAUGUCAUGAUUUGAUCAUCGUCCCAUCAAAAAAAUUUUCGUAGGGAGCGAAUUGAAGGUGAUCUUAUCUGAACUCGACGAUGCUCUUGAAUUCUGUGUGCUUAUAGAAAACCAGACAUUGGUGAGAUUUGUAGUCUGUAAAUUUAAAUAUGUA